CGGCGCUGGAAGCACGGGGAGGAGGAGCUCUGGAAAUAGAGGGCAGGAGGGUCCCACCCCCCGGAAGGGCCAUGGCCGUACGGCGACCUGGUCGCGCCCACGGAGGAAGUUGCUCCAGGAAGGGCAAAUGGUUGGUGAAGGCUGUGGUUUCAGGGAGCUGAUUUUUCAGCCUGAAAAGGGGACGAACAAUGUCUGUGGUACAUCGUCUGACAGCGGGAUGGCUUGUGGAUCAUCUCUCUUUCAUCAACCAGUGUGGCUAUGAGAUCUGUGACUCCUCUGCACACCCUGGUGGUGUCACUCACAAUACUUCUGUCACAUCUACUGAAGACUGUCACAGUAUUUCUACUUUUGCGGCCACCCCCUCAUCAAGGGACAGUCCUGGAAAUGCCCUAGAAACAGAAGGUAAAAGAGCAAAAAAGAGAUAUGUGUUUCGGGAGGAGUUCUUUGAUAUCUCUAAGCCCCAUAUAGCUGCAGCUCCUGAGGAGCAGCUGUGUCAGGGAUGCUCUGAGGUGAGUCUGACAGACACAAAGGCCAACAGCUACAAAGAGGAAUACCAAGAAGGAGCAAAGAGUGACACUGGAGAUUCUCUUGCCACUGCUAGGAAGAAACGUAAAAGGAAAUGUGUAUUCAACCAAGGUGAACUGGAUGCUUUGGAAUACCAUUCAAAGGUCAGGAAGCUCAUUUGGGAAGGGACUUUGCAUUUAGUCCAAGAGGGACUCAAAAGUGGUUUUCUUCACCGUACGACUGCAAAACUCAGUUGCAGGAAGAAUAAUGUUCCUCAGCACAUUGUCUGUGGCUUGGCUGAAUUAUGUGAAAUGGCAAAGCAGUUUCCAGCUGUGAAUGAAAGUGACCAUCAAGCUGUAUGUGUGCUAGAGGAGGAAACCUCCACUGCAGAGCAGGACCUGCUUUCAUGCGUUAUGGAAAACAGCUCAAACUCUGCAAAGAUAAUUGUGUUAAUGGGGCAGAAAUACUUGGUGCCACCAAAAAGCAGUUUCCUCUUGUCUGAUAUUUCAUGUUUACAGCCCCUGCUGAACUACAAGAAAAAAUAUGAUGUAAUUGUGAUUGAUCCACCAUGGGAGAACAAGUCUGUUAAAAGGAGUAACAGGUACAGCCACUUGUCUUCAUGGCAAAUCAAGCAGAUUCCUGUGCCAGCACUAGCUGCUCCAAAUUGUCUUGUAGUCACGUGGGUGACUAAUAGACAGAAGCACUUACGUUUUGUUAAGGAUGAACUUUAUCCUCACUGGUCAGUGAAAACACUUGCUGAGUGGCACUGGGUAAAAAUUACUACAGCUGGAGAAUUUGUGUUGCCUUUGGAUUCUUUGCACAAAAAACCCUAUGAAGUUCUCAUAUUGGGGAGAGUUCAAGGAGAUGUAAAGGAAGCCUUAAGGAAAUCUGAAGGUGUUCUUCCAAUUCCAGAGCAUCAGUUGAUUGUCAGCAUACCCUGCAGUCUGCAUUCACAUAAACCUCCUCUUGCUGCAGUCCUGACAGAGUUUAUCAAGCCAGAUAUGGAAUGCUUGGAGUUGUUUGCUCGCAACCUACAGCCUGGCUGGACCAGCUGGGGAAAUGAGGUCUUGAAGUUUCAACACAUUGAUUAUUUCACUCUUCUGCAGAAUGAAAACUGAGCAGGGUCUCAGACAUCUAUACCUUCUGAAAUUCCACAUGUUCCCAGGGGACUCUUGAACUUAGCUUUAUUACUGAUGGUGCACCUAAAGAACAGCACAAGAAAUGACAAUGUUGUCUGUUCCACAUCCGCUGCUAUGAACAACUCCAGAUUAUCUGUUUAAUUCCAACUAAAAGAAAGAUGAGCAAUCUUAAGAGAUCAAGAAACUACCUUUCUCCUUGAGCUAAGCAGCAGAAUCCUUCUAAGGGAAUACCCUUCUUUAGGCUUGUUAAGAAUUGAUGACCUUAUUAAUUUGCCUAUUCUGUGGAGUCCCUUUGCAAAUAGUGGCUUUCUAGAAUCCUAGAAUAAUUAAGAUUGGAAAAGACCUCUAAGAUCAAGUCCAGCUGUUAACCUACUAUCACUGUGUUCACCACUAAACUGAAGCAGCUGAGCAGCUACUUCCAGCACCUGGGAAUCCAGCCUCCUAAGUACGGCUUGUAUGUAGAGGACUUGUGCAGGCAGAGUCUAAGCUUCUCAGGCUAAGUCAAACGUUGAAGAUUGGAACUUGUGUCAUACCUGAUCUUUUCCUAAAUAGUUACAAAAUUGUGCCUUGGACACCUGUUUGCUGCUCUGGCCAUGAAGAAUAUGACAGAAGUGGUGUUCCAUAUCUGCAGCCAACCUGGAACCAUUGCAUUUUCUCAGGAGAAGAAAGCCCGUUGCUAACUUGGAAAUCUCAUGGUGGUAUUAGCAGUUGAUAGUUUGAAUUGAUAGGAUCAUCUAGGGUCAUCUUUUGAACAUAAUUAUUUGCCUGUUACGCUGAAUUAAUAGUUUGAAUAGCCCCUUACACUUUUCCAGUUCUCCAAGACCCCAGCUGUUCCUAACCAGCCAUCAGAUUGUUCAGUGUCUGUCAAAAGAUUCUUCUGAGGCAGAAUCUGCAGCAUACUCAAAGAUCAGCGAUGAGUGAAACCAGCUAAUAUAACAAGAAAAUUUAAGAUCUGGUUUCCUUUUAUGUUAUAUAUGUCAAUUGCUCAGAGGGAAGAAUGCUCUCUUGUUGUGUCAAGCCUUGUAUAAAAAAGCAAACUUGCUCUGAAGAGUUUACAAAGUUGGUAAGAAAUGAAAGAAAAAGGGAGAAGAUAAGGAUGGAGGAAUACAAGAUGGUAAUGAGAUGUUAAAGGUGUAUUUAAUAAGUAUGAGCCUAGGUAUUGUGCACAUCUUCAGUGUUCCUAAGGAAUUGUAAGGUUGUUUCCCCUCUUUUAAAUGGGAUUUUCUUCUUUUGUAUUCUUGUAUCACACAUUCAAAUAAAAAAUAGGUUAAGUGUGUAUUUUACUUACAUUAACAAAAUAAAAGGGUUUUUUAAGCUAUAAAUUCUUGUGGCAGCUUGGAGAAGUGACAACUGUGAUUAGUCAAGAAUUUUCAGAAAGCAUGUUUGGUACAUCUGUUGUUUUAGCAGGACAAUGAUAAAAGUUUCUUUGGCUAGGUGUUCUCUACUAUUUAAAGCCUUUUAAAAUUAUGUCUUAUUGCAAAAAACACUCAGUUACAUUACAAAAAGAAGUAAUUUUAAGCUUUUUCUAUAUGAAGAGUACAUCAAGUAUCAUAAUCAAACUUUUAUGAAUCUUCAGGUUUGAGUGUGAUUUUGAAAUGUCAAAUUAGCAUAUGACCUUUACUUGUAUUUUUAAACUUCUGUGAAGUAAAAAGAAUUAUACCAGUAAGAUGUAUUUUUGGAAUAAUGAUUGCUAGGCAUGUACUCCUGUGGAAACAGCAAAACUUCUUCUGCAAGAUUAAACAUUAUUAAAGAAGUGAGGUACGUGAGGAGGUCGUACCUCUUCAUAGCAUUCAGCUUGGAUAUGUGUCAGCAGCAGCAAAGAGUUGACUUUUAAAAAUAGAUUUCCAAAUUACGUAAACAACUAUAAAUUACAGGAGAUAAAUACCUUGAUAAUUGCAUUCAUUAGCUUCAACAUACCAAUAAAGACUUGCCUACUGCUUUGUUUGGAUUGGACAUAAGAGGAAGAGAAUGGAAAGUGUCUGGAGAAUACCAAGGGGUAUGAGGUAUUUUCCAGUUGCUGAAAGAAAUCUUGGUCCCAGCUGGCAGGUUUUUUCACAGAAUCAUAGAAUAGUUUGAUUUGGAAGGAUCUUUACAGGUCAUCUAGUCCAACUUCCCUGCAAUGAGGGACAUCUUCAUCUGGAUCAGGUUGCCAGGAGCCCUGUACCCAGCCCUACCUGACCUUGAAUGUUUUCAUGGGUCUGCCAGUUUUUAGUGGAGAGAAUUGUAUAUGUGCAUAUGUGUGUGCAGCCAAGCUGACCUCUUGGAGCAGUGUGAACCAGUGGUAUACAGUGCUUUGAAUAACAACGAUAUUUGCAUUGCUAGAAAUUUAAUAUCACCAUAUUUUUAUUGUCAGUGUCCUAAUGUUACCAGUUUGUGGGGAAAAGGUACUAUUUAUUUGGUUACAGAUGCCCCAAUACCAUACAUGUUUUGAAAGCUUUCCUGGGGACUGUUUAAUGGAUGUAUUUUUGCUUGGUAAUCUUCUGGAAGCAUCACAUUGGCACUGAUGAGUGAACAGCACAGCAGCUGCCAAGGUGUUCCCGUGACCCUGGCCACAUCUCAGAAGCAUGGGAAGCCUGCAGGGGGUUGGGUGUGGUUCCAUGGGUUCUUUGGCUGCCUCAAUGUGCCUUAACAUCACUAAAAUGACAUCAGAGCUGUUCUAGUGAGUCUUGGUUCCUUUGCUGGGCCUGGCUAUGAUGAUUUUAAUUCCUGGCAUAAAGGAGUUGAGGUUAUCACCUUAUCAGGGUUGUUCUUCAAGUAGCCUGAAAAUUUUCUAAAGUUGCUUUUUACUUGUGAACAUUUUUUAUUCAACCUGCUGA